rnacentral:rRNA from 1 species
UACGUAGGGCGCAAGCGUUGUCCGGAAUUAUUGGGCGUAAAGAGCUCCUAGGCGGUUUGUCGCGUCUGCUGUGAAAACGCGAGGCUUAACCUCGCGCCUGCAGUGGGUACGGGCAGACUAGAGUGCGGUAGGGGAGACUGGAAUUCCUGGUGUAGCGGUGGAAUGCGCAGAUAUCAGGAGGAACACCGGUGGCGAAGGCGGGUCUCUGGGCCGUUACUGACGCUGAGGAGCGAAAGCAUGGGGAGCGAACAGG